CUACUCACACAAAGGUAUUGUAUUCUGAACACAUUACAGUAAAGUGUUUACUAUUCAAAUUCGAAUUUCAAAUUUAAAUGCAUGCAUGCUAUAUAUCAUAUUUAGAUCCUAGUGUAGGGUAAAUUAUUAUUAAUUAAUUAGAUUAAUUAAUAAUUUUUACUGUAAAAUAAUGAUUUUGAAAAAAUUUUAAAAUUACCAUUUUACCCCUG
rnacentral:lncRNA from 1 species